rnacentral:rRNA from 1 species
ACGGAAGGCAGCAGUGGGGGAUAUUGCACAAUGGGGGAAACCCUGAUGCAGCGACGCCGCGUGAGUGAUGAAGUAUUUCGGUAUGUAAAGCUCUAUCAGCAGGGAAGAAAAUGACGGUACCUGACUAAGAAGCACCGGCUAAAUACGUGCCAGCAGCCGCGGUAAUACGUAUGGUGCAAGCGUUAUCCGGAUUUACUGGGUGUAAAGGGAGCGUAGACGGCAUAGCAAGCCAGAUGUGAAAUGCGGGGGCUCAACCCCUGAACUGCAUCUGGAACUGUUAAGCUAGAGUAUCGGAGAGGUAAGUGGAAUUCCUAGUGUAGCGGUGAAAUGCGUAGAGAUUGGGAGGAACACCAGUGGCGAAGGCGACUUACUGGGCUGUAACUGACGCUGAGGCGCGAAAGCGUGGGGAGCAAACAGGAUUAGAUACCCUGGUA